rnacentral:misc_RNA from 1 species
AAGUCGUAACAAGGUUUCCGUAGGUGAACCUGCGGAAGGAUCAUUAAUAAAUUUAUGAAGGUGAAUGCGUUUGAAAGAACCAUUCUCUCUUUAACAAAUUUGUGAACUUUAUUAAAGUCUUUUGGGUUAAAGUUAAAAUGUUAGCCCAAAAACCUAUUUAAACAAUUUUAUUAUAACAAGUCUUUAAAAACCUUUUAAAUAAUUAAUUUAAAAAACAACUUUUGACAACGGAUCUCUUGGCUCUC